rnacentral:lncRNA from 1 species
AUGAGUGGCUGUCGAGUGUUCAUUGGGAGACUAAAUCCAGCAGCGAGGGUGAAAGAUGUGGAAAGAUUCUUCAAGGGUUACGGACGGAUCCGAGAUAUUGACUUGAAAACAGGUUUUGGUUUUGUGGAAUUUGAGGACCCAAGGGAUGCAGAUGAUGCUGUUUAUGAACUUGAUGGGAAGGAACUUUGCAGUGAAAGGGUGACGAUUGAACAUGCUCGGGCUCGAUCUCGAGGUGGAAGAGGUAGAGGACGAUACUCCGACCGUUUUAGCAGUCGCAGACCUCGAAAUGAUAGACGAAAUGCUCCACCUGUAAGAACAGAAAAUCGACUUAUAGUUGAGAAUUUAUCCUCAAGAGUCAGCUGGCAGGAUCUCAAAGAUUUCAUGAGACAAGCUGGGGAAGUAACCUUUGCGGAUGCACAUCGACCUAAACUAAAUGAAGGGGUAGUUGAGUUUGCCUCUUAUGGUGACUUAAAGAAUGCUAUUGAGAAACUUUCUGGAAAGGAAAUUAACGGGAGAAAAAUCAAAUUAAUUGUAGGCAGCAAAAGGCACAGGUCAAGAAGCAGGUCACGAUCUCGGACCAGGAGUUCCUCUAGGUCCCGUAGCCGAUCCCGUUCACGCAGGAGCAAGUCUUACAGCCGAUCAAGGAGCAGGAGCCGGAGCCAGAGCAAGUCCCGUUCUGGUAGUAGGUCUCCUGUGCCUGAGAAGAGCCAGAAACGUGGUUCUUCGAGUAGAUCUAAAUCUCCAGCAUCUGUGGAUCGCCAGAGGUCCCGAUCCCGGUCCAGGUCCAGAUCAGUUGACAGUGGCAAUUAA